AACAGCCACAUGUGGUUCAUGGCUGCCAUAUUGGAUGGUGCUAAACUUUCCCUCUACCAAAUUUCUAGUGCUUGACUACACGAAGAAGGUCUCUAUCAGUGAGAGUCAAAGUCUCUCCAGUCAGAGAGCAUGGAGGUAGCCUUAAAGAAUGGAACACACGCAGUAUUUAGUGAAGAGAAGACCUCAAUUUUAACUCUAGCUCUGGCUCUUUCUGGUUGUGUGACUUUAGGCAAAUCCCUUAACCUCCUGCACAUAAAGUGGAUAGAAUCAUAACACCUCCUCUGUCUCAAGGGUGGGCUGCAAGCCCUUUGAUGAUAGGGACCACCUUUCCUUUGCAUCUCAGGUGUGCCCCAUCAGAACUUGACUAGCAGUGGCCAGGUUCAGGCGCAGGCUGAGAGGCCAUUUGUUUGGAAGAUGGUGUAAAACCUGACACGUCGGCGGGGUGAUGGGACUGAAGGAAUGUUGAUGUUCCUCCCAGUUUUGAUACUGUUUUCCACUCCAGGCAAGCCAUGCUUCUGGGCCACACUGUCAUUGCACGGAUGGUUGGAGGCACCUUGCACAAAGAACUCAUUUCUACCCUUUCAACAGCUCCAAUGAAAUCCUGGCAUUCCCAAAUGUUCCCUAGAUAGUUCCUGCCAGACGACCUCGCUUUUCCCCGGCCAUGAGAACUUUUCAACGUGUGAUUGGAAGUCAGAGAAUGUCCGUGAUUCCAACAGCCGUAUCCUUUCUGUGGCCUUGGGUGUAUGGUAAAGCCUCAAGUCCACUAGCUGGUCAGUAGUCACGUGGCACGCACUUGGCCACCUGUGUAAUUGUCCCUGUCAGCUAACCUCUCCAGAAGUCCAUCUCCUCAUCCGCAAAAUGAAAGCUGAGACCAGACCGGGGUUGGCGAAUGGUGUGGCCCGAGUCUGGCUUGCUGCCUGUCUGUGCAAAUAAAGUUUUACUGGAACAGGG